rnacentral:rRNA from 1 species
AUUGAACGCUGGCGGCAGGCCUAACACAUGCAAGUCGAACGGUAACAGGAAGCAGCUUGCUGCUUUGCUGACGAGUGGCGGACGGGCGAGUAAUGUCUGGGAAACUGCCCGAUGGAGGGGGAUAACUACUGGAAACGGUAGCUAAUACCGCAUAACGUCGCAAGACCAAAGAGGGGGACCUUAGGGCCUCUUGCCAUCGGAUGUGCCCAGAUGGGAUUAGCUAGUAGGUGGGGUAACGGCUCACCUAGGCGACGAUCCCUAGCUGGUCUGAGAGGAUGACCAGCCACACUGGAACUGAGACACGGUCCAGACUCCUACGGGAGGCAGCAGUGGGGAAUAUUGCACAAUGGGCGCAAGCCUGAUGCAGCCAUGCCGCGUGUAUGAAGAAGGCCUUCGGGUUGUAAAGUACUUUCAGCGGGGAGGAAGGGAGUAAAGUUAAUACCUUUGCUCAUUGACGUUACCCGCAGAAGAAGCACCGGCUAACUCCGUG